CCAACAUCUCAAUUCCGCGGGUCAAAUUAAAAACACGCGGAUCCUAAGCGGGUCGAAAAAAAAAACGGGUCAAACCAAUUUCAUUCUCCCUCUCUCGCUCGCCUCUCUCUCUCUCGCCUCUCUCUGCGACAGAAACCCUAAUCUCCCCUUCUCGGGAGCUUCCUUUGUCUCACUACAAUCAGUCAGCUUUAGUAUAUGGAUAUCCAUAUGUCUGGGUCGGAUGAAGAAAGUGACAAUGAGAGUUAUUUAAAUAAGAUAUUCAUUACUCAUCAAGGUGAUGAUCAUGAAGAGGAAGAGAGUCAACCACAUAUGGCUGAUGAUUAUCAUAAUGGGAUGGAAGAGACUCAACACUCGGAUCGAAUUACAAUUGUUCAACUGUUCAAGUUAUAAUAUUUUGUGUUGUGUGAAGAUUCUUGUAGUUUUUUUGUGUUGUGAUUAUUGUUGUUUGUCACAAUUUUUUCACAACCUUUCUCAUCCCCAUAUUACAUUGAUUUUAGAUGUCCUACUGGAAUUUUUUUAUCAA